AGCGUCGGCAUUGGAUGAGACAUUUCUAUAAAUACAGUCUUUGUAAAACAAUAACACACAUCCCAUAAGCAAUUAGUUGUAAGAUCUGCAAGACUUUCAGUUAAUUAAUUGUGCCCACUAUAUUUUUCCAAGUUCAAAAGCAAAUCAUGGAUGCUCUUAAGAAAGUAAUCCCCCAAGGUGGCGAAACCAAGGUCCAAGACCAGGAAAAAGGUUUGAUGGAGAAGGCUGGAGAUGCUGCGCAGUCUGCCAAGAAAACAGCGCAAGGGGUGGGGGAGCAAGUGAAGACCUCAACACUAGGAGCAGUUGAUGCCGUUAAAAACGCCACUGGCAUGAACAAAUGAACCACGUUAAUUUGUACCAUGUUAUGAAGAUUGUGUUUCUUCUACUUUAGGCUAUGUCCAAUUAUGUUGCUUAGGUUUGAACUCUUGUUUGAGUCUGAAUCAAUAAUAUUGUAAUAAUGUUUCUUUUAAUUAAGUAGUUUUCCUACUUGUAUUUGAACACUUUUGCAGUAUAUAUGUGAUUCAACUCCAGGUUUAUGUA